CUGGCGGGUCACGCAGAUCGCACUGGUGGCUGGCGGCUGCGGCGGCGGAGCUGCGGGGCCGGAAGCGGGCGCGGGGCUCUGGGUAAGCGAGGCGCGGCGCAGUGGUGAGCCCGCCGGGAGCCAUGGAAAGCGGCACCGAGAUCAGCCGCAAGAUCCGGAGUGCCAUUAAGGGGAAAUUGCAAGAAUUAGGAGCUUAUGUUGAUGAAGAACUUCCUGAUUACAUUAUGGUGUUGGUGGCCAACAAGAAAAGUCAGGACCAAAUGACAGAGGACCUGUCCCUAUUUCUAGGGAACAACACAAUUCAAUUCACCGUAUGGCUUCAUGGUGUGUUAGAUGAACUUCGCUCUGUUACAACUGACCCUUCCAGUCUUAAGUCUUCUGAUACUAACAUCUUUGAUAAUAACGUGUCUUCAAACAAGAGCUGUUUCAGUCGGGGAGAUGAGAGAAGGUAUGAAGCCGCAGUGCCACCUCUUGCGGUGGCUAGCACUAGACCUGAAAAAAGAGAUUCCAGGUUUUCUACUAGUUCACAGGAGCAAAAAACCACUACUGUCAAACAGACUUAUGAUGAUGGAGCUGCAACCCGAUUAAUGUCAACUGUGAAGCCUCUGAGGGAGCCAGCACCCUCCGAAGAUGUGAUUGUUAUUAAGCCAGAACCAGAUGAUCUCAUUGAUGAAGACUUCAAUUUUGUGCAGGAGAAUCCCUUAUCUCAGAAAAAACCUACAGUGACACUUACAUAUGGUUCUUCUCGCCCUUCUGUUGAAAUUUAUCGACCACCUGCAAGUCGAAAUGCAGAUAGUGGUGCUCAUUUAAACAGGUUGCAAUUUCAGCAGCAGCCAAACAGUAUUCAUGCUGCCAAGCAACCUGAUAUACAGAACAGCCGGGUAUAUGAAACAGGACGUUUGUGUGAACCGGAAAUGCUUAACAGCUUAGAAGAGACUUAUAGUCCUUUUUUCAGAAACAACUCAGAAAAAAAUGAGUGUUGAGGAAGAAAACUUUCGGAAGAGAAAGUUGCCUGUGGUUAAGUUCAGUUGUUAAAGUAAAAAAAAUUCAAUCAUGAUGGAGAAGAGGAGGAGGAAGAUGAUGACUGUGGGUCUCGCACAGGAAGCAUCUCCAGCCGUGUGUCAGUGCCAGCAAAGCCUGAAAGGAGACCUUCACUUCCACCUUCUAAACGAGCUAACAAGAAUCUAAUUUUGAAGGCUGUAUCUGAAGCUCAAGAAUCUGUAACAAAAACAACUAACUAUUCUACAGUCUCACAGAAACAGACACUUCCAGUUGCUCCCAGAACUCGAACUUCUCAAGAAGAAUUGCUGGCAGAAAUGGUCCAGGGGCAAAGCAGGACCCCCAGAAUAAGUACCCCCAUUAAAGAAGAGGAAACAAAGGGAGAUAAUAUGGAAAAAAGCCAACGAGCUCAACAGAGGCAGUUGUUAUCCCGACUGCAAAUUGACCCAGUAAUGGCAGAAACUCUACAGAUCAGUCAAGCUGAGAUGAGUGAACUGAGUGUGGUCCAGAAACCAGAAAAACUUUUGGAGCGUUGCAAGUACUGGCCUGCCUGUAAAAAUGGGGAUGAGUGUGCUUACCAUCAUCCUGUUUCACCUUGCAAAGCCUUCCCCAAUUGUCAGUUUGCUGAGAAAUGUUUGUUUGUUCAUCCAAAUUGUAAAUAUGAUGCAAAAUGUACUAAACCAGAUUGUCCCUUCACUCAUAUGAGUAGAAGAAUUCCAGUACUGCCUCCAAAACCAGUUGCAACACCAGCCUCACCUUCUAGUAGUCAGCUGUGCCGUUAUUUCCCUGCUUGUAAGAAAAUGGAAUGUCCCUUCUAUCAUCCAAAACACUGCAGAUUUAAUACUCAGUGUACAAGACCUGACUGCACAUUUUAUCAUCUCACCAUUACUGUGCCACCACGACAUACCUUGAAAUGGAUUCGACCUCAAACCAGUGAAUGACAGUCCUACUUGGCAGAAAAUUGUGGAGUUUCCAUCUACUGGCAAAAAUAUUCUGCAGAACUUGUCAAACCUUUGAAACUUGGAAUAUACUGCUUUCAUAAUACGGAGUUUAUUGCUUAUCUGAAGUGUCUAAUUUUUCAAGUUUGUAAGUUUAUUAAGUGGUUUUAACACUGGGUAUUUUUGU